rnacentral:rRNA from 1 species
UACGGAGGGUGCAAGCGUUAUCCGGAUUCACUGGGUUUAAAGGGUGCGUAGGCGGGUAGGUAAGUCCGUGGUGAAAUCUCUGAGCUUAACUCAGAAACUGCCGUGGACACUAUUUGCCUUGAAUAUUGUGGAGGUGAGCGGAAUAUGUCAUGUAGCGGUGAAAUGCUUAGAUAUGACAUAGAACACCAAUUGCGAAGGCAGCUCACUACACAAUGAUUGACGCUGAGGCACGAAAGCGUGGGGAUCAAACAGG